GAUGAAGAACGCAGUGAAAUGCGAUACUUGGUGUGAAUUGCAGAAUCCCGUGAACCAUCGAGUCUUUGAACGCAAGUUGCGCCCGAAGCCAUUAGGCCGAGGGCACGCCUGCCUGGGCGUCACACGUCGUUGCCCCCCCAUCUACUCCUUCGGGAUUGCGGGGGGCGGAUGAUGGCCUCCCGUGCGCCUAGUCGCGCGGUUGGCAUAAAUACCAAGUCCUCGGCGACGCACGCCACGACAAUCGGUGGUUGCGAAACCUCGGUUGCCCGUCGUGUGCGUUCGUCGCGCAUCGAGGGCUCGAAAAAAUGCUCGGCUCCGGCUCGGCUUUCAACGCGACCCCAGGUCAGGCGGGGUUACCCGCUGAAUUUAAGCAUAUCAAUAAGCGGAGGA
rnacentral:misc_RNA from 1 species